ACCAGACUCCUACGGGAGGCAGCAGUGGGGAAUAUUGCACAAUGGGGGAAACCCUGAUGCAGCGACGCCGCGUGAGUGAAGAAGUAUUUCGGUAUGUAAAGCUCUAUCAGCAGGGAAGAAAAUGACGGUACCUGAUUAAGAAGCCCCGGCUAACUACGUGCCAGCAGCCGCGGUAAUACGUAGGGGGCAAGCGUUAUCCGGAUUUACUGGGUGUAAAGGGAGCGUAGACGGUGAUGCAAGUCAGAAGUGAAAGCCCGGGGCUCAACUCCGGGACUGCUUUUGAAACUGUGUGACUGGAGUGCAGGAGAGGUAAGCGGAAUUCCUGGUGUAGCGGUGAAAUGCGUAGAUAUCAGGAGGAACACCAGUGGCGAAGGCGGCUUACUGGACUGUAACUGACGUUGAGGCUCGAAAGCGUGGGGAGCAAACAGGAUUAGAUACCCGUGUAC
rnacentral:rRNA from 1 species